rnacentral:lncRNA from 1 species
UAAGGUUCAUGGAACAACUUGAAUCAACAUCACUCAUGAAAUGCUCCCUUUCCUCUUCACCUCUAUAUCAAAAGCAAUAUGUUCACUUCUUCAACUCUAGCCAAGUAAGAUAAAUGUAUCAAUUCUACAGUUCAUAUGUUCUCCUCUCACUUUGACUUAACAAUUUUUGCUAAUUGUAUGUAUACCUUUUAACUGAAUAGAGAUAUAGUCAGUGUUGUUCAUUGUCGAUGAAUGGAUGCCAAGGCGAUCCAAGAGCUCCUAUUGGAACCAUUGAAACUCGAACGUUGCC